UACAGAGGUCUCAAGCGUUGUUCGGAUUCAUUGGGCGUAAAGGGUGCGUAGGCGGCGCGGUAAGUCGGGUGUGAAAUCUCGGAGCUUAACUCCGAAACUGCAUUCGAUACUGCCGUGCUUGAGGACUGGAGAGGAGACUGGAAUUUACGGUGUAGCGGUGAAAUGCUUAGAUAUGACAUAGAACACCGAUUGCGAAGGCAGCUCACUACACGAAUAUUGACUCUGAGGCACGAAAGCGUGGGGAUCAAACAGG
rnacentral:rRNA from 1 species